AGCACUUUGCUUAGAUUCUUCGGAUGAAGAGGAUUGUGACUGAGCGGCGGACGGGUGAGUAACGCGUGGGUAACCUGCCUCAUACAGGGGGAUAACAGUUAGAAAUGACUGCUAAUACCGCAUAAGACCACAGCACCGCAUGGUGCGGGGGUAAAAACUCCGGUGGUAUGAGAUGGACCCGCGUCUGAUUAGCUGGUUGGUAAGGUAACGGCUUACCAAGGCGACGAUCAGUAGCCGACCUGAGAGGGUGACCGGCCACAUUGGGACUGAGACACGGCCCAAACUCCUACGGGAGGCAGCAGUGGGGAAUAUUGCACAAUGGGGGAAACCCUGAUGCAGCGACGCCGCGUGAGCGAAGAAGUAUUUCGGUAUGUAAAGCUCUAUCAGCAGGGAAGAAAAUGACGGUACCUGACUAAGAAGCACCGGCUAAAUACGUGCCAGCAGCCGCGGUAAUACGUAUGGUGCAAGCGUUAUCCGGAUUUACUGGGUGUAAAGGGAGCGUAGACGGAUGGGCAAGUCUGAUGUGAAAACCCGGGGCUCAACCCCGGGACUGCAUUGGAAACUGUUCAUCUAGAGUGCUGGAGAGG
rnacentral:rRNA from 1 species